AACGAACGCUGGCGGCAUGCCUAACACAUGCAAGUCGAACGAGACCUUCGGGUCUAGUGGCGCACGGGUGCGUAACGCGUGGGAACCUGCCCUUAGGUUCGGCAUAACUCCCCGAAAGGGGUGCUAAUACCGGAUAAUGUCUUCGGACCAAAGAUUUAUCGCCUUUGGAUGGGCCCGCGUUGGAUUAGCUAGUUGGUAGGGUAAAAGCCUACCAAGGCGACGAUCCAUAGCUGGUCUGAGAGGAUGCUCAGCCACACUGGGACUGAGACACGGCCCAGACUCCUACGGGAGGCAGCAGUGGGGAAUAUUGGACAAUGGGCGAAAGCCUGAUCCAGCAAUGCCGCGUGAGUGAUGAAGGCCUUAGGGUUGUAAAGCUCUUUUACCCGGGAUGAUAAUGACAGUACCGGGAGAAUAAGCUCCGGCUAACUCCGUG
rnacentral:rRNA from 1 species